rnacentral:lncRNA from 1 species
UCAUAAAUUGCUGGAGGAAGAUCAUCAAAAGAGGAAGGGAGAGUUAUGGUGAACCACCAUAGAAUAAACAUAUAGACUUUUUGUACUGUGGACGUAGAUUUGAGAAGAGAACCAUGCAAUCAAAAGUCUCCAAAACUGUGAGCAUUCUAACAAUUGGAAACAUGAAAUUAUAACACCACUGCCUAUUUAUGUCCCAUAUGUGAGCUACACCAUGGAGCAAUAUGC